rnacentral:rRNA from 1 species
UACGUAGGGAGCAAGCGUUGUCCGGAAUCAUUGGGCGUAAAGCGCGCGUAGGCGGCCCUGUAAGUCCGCUGUGAAAGUCAAAGGCUCAACCUUUGAAAGCCGGUGGAUACUGCAGGGCUAGAGUACGGAAGAGGCGAGUGGAAUUCCUGGUGUAGCGGUGGAAUGCGCAGAUAUCAGGAGGAACACCAAUAGCGAAGGCAGCUCGCUGGGACGUCACUGACGCUGAGGCGCGAAAGCGUGGGGAGCGAACAGG